CGGGUCGGUCAGGCCAUCGCGGCACGUAAGUGUCGAGGAAAGUCCGGGCUCCGCAGGGCAGGAUGGUGGGUAACGCCCACUCGGGGCAACCCGCAGGCCAGUGCCACAGAAAACAGACCGCCCGUUGCUGCACUGCAGCGCGGGUAAGGGUGAAACGGUGGGGUAAGAGCCCACCAGCGCCUCAGGUGACUGAGGCGGCUAGGCAAACCCCAUCCGGAGCAAGGUCGAGCAGGAUACGCCCGAGGGCUGCCCGCCCGAGUAUCCGGGUUGACCGCUUGAGGUCCGCGGCAACGCGGCACCCAGAUGGAUGAUGGUCCACGACAGAACCCGGCUUACCGACCGGCCCGUCCC
rnacentral:RNase_P_RNA from 1 species